UACGUAGGGUGCAAGCGUUAAUCGGAAUUACUGGGCGUAAAGCGUGCGCAGGCGGUUUUGUAAGCCAGAUGUGAAAUCCCCGGGCUUAACCUGGGAAUGGCAUUUGGGACUGCAAGGCUUGAGUGCGGCAGAGGAGACUGGAAUUCCUGGUGUAGCAGUGAAAUGCGCAGAUAUCAGGAGGAACACCGAUGGCGAAGGCAGGUCUCUGGGCAUUAACUGACGCUGAGGAGCGAAAGCAUGGGGAGCGAACAGG
rnacentral:rRNA from 1 species